rnacentral:lncRNA from 1 species
GGGGCUGCUGACCUGCAAGUCUGCCUUUGGGGGCAGGUGAUUUCCAUGGCAUCUGCAGGAAAGUUGAACAACUGUCAACAAAUUUAAAUUUGUCAUUUCUAAGCUGAUGGAAGAGAAAGAGAAUCCUGGUAGAAGAGGCCUUUAAAGAAUCUGGUCUAACCCCUAAAAAUCAACUAGGUCAUGGAAGAGAAAGACAGAACAAAUGCUUUCUUCUCUCUAGUAGAAAAGAAGUAAUUGAAAAAGAACAGA